UAGAAAGAGGCAGUUGGUGCCUGUAGAGGAACAUACUAUAGAAAGGGGUCGUAAUCCAAAGAAAGCCGCAGGGCACCCACACAAGUGCUGUUUGUUGGAAGCAUUCUGUGAACUGAGGCCACGAGUUGUUCAGUAACAGGUCCUGAUCCUGA